rnacentral:rRNA from 1 species
UACGAGGGGGGCAAGCGUUGUUCGGAAUUAUUGGGCGUAAAGGGUGCGUAGGCGGUCUGAUAAGUCAUCUGUGAAAUCUAUGGGCUCAACCCAUAGUCUGCAGGCGAAACUGUCGGGCUUGAGUAUGGGAGAGGUGAGUGGAAUUUCCGGUGUAGCGGUGAAAUGCGUAGAUAUCGGAAGGAACACCUGUGGCGAAGGCGGGUCUCUGGGCCGGAACUGACGCUGAGGAGCGAAAGCGUGGGGAGCGAACAGG